GUUGCCUUGUUGCAUUGUAGGCCCGAAUGACUAUGGCUCUAAUAUUUGUUCAUAUGAACUUGUUUGCGCAUACUGCUUUCUCAUUUAGGCUGUAGUUGCUGUUCACUUUUGUCUUCUGUUUAUUAGCCAAAUUUACUUCUGUUGCCUUUUGUUUUGUUAUUCUUACUUCUGUUUUUCGGUAGUAAUGUACUUCUGUCUUUUUUUCCAGGAUUUGCUUCGAAAUUGAGGAAAUAUAAGAUAAAAUGCCUAGAAGAAAAUGCGAAUAUGAUGAAGAUGUUUCAGCAAUCGCAACAUCCGCCGUCAUAGUGUAUUGUAUAAAUAUUUUUAUCAUUUUAACUUUUAACAGUUUUGUAAAAAUAAUAUGAAUUAUAUUUUAUUUAUUGAUAUUAAUAUUAUUUUAUUUGUUUAAUUUGAAAUAUUAUAUAGAUUUAUUGCUUUUGGCUGGUUUA